rnacentral:rRNA from 1 species
UAGGGAAUCUUCGGCAAUGGACGGAAGUCUGACCGAGCAACGCCGCGUGAGUGAAGAAGGUUUUCGGAUCGUAAAGCUCUGUUGUUAGAGAAGAACGUUGGUAGGAGUGGAAAAUCUACCAAGCGACGGUAACUAACCAGAAAGGGACGGCUAACUACGUGCCAGCAGCCGCGGUAAUACGUAGGUCCCGAGCGUUGUCCGGAUUUAUUGGGCGUAAAGCGAGCGCAGGCGGUUCUUUAAGUCUGAAGUUAAAGGCAGUGGCUUAACCAUUGUACGCUUUGGAAACUGGAGGACUUGAGUGCAGAAGGGGAGAGUGGAAUUCCAGGUGUGGCGGUGAAAUGCGUAGAUAUAUGGAGGAACACCGGUGGCGAAAGCGGCUCUCUGGUCUGUAACUGACGCUGAGGCUCGAAAGCGUGGGGAGCAAACAGG